UAACCUCCUUUACGUAAAGUUUUGAACUUUAGCAGAUCCUUUCUUGAUUUUGUUUCCUACUUCCGUUGGUUUUGUGCAGCUUAAGUGGGGACCUUGUGUGGACGAUUUUAAUGUUUCCAGGUUCACUGUUACUGACUUUGUCUCGACAGGAUCGACUUGAUGACAGAGAAUCAAAUAGCUCCAAAGAUCGUUUACAGUCAAAUGUAAAGGUUAGCAAUGCUGCCCGUCAGCUUUUAAACGCCUCCAGUCAAAAAGUACCUCCGAAAGUUUUGUUAGGAAACUAUGUGAAAAUUCCUUUAGCUGGCAAAAGCAUCUAUCAAGAAACAAAACCAGCAGCUAGUAAUGUAGAUCAGAUAAAUGCAAAAGGUAUUCUCCAAAGUAUAAACGAAGUUUUAUUAUGCUGUCAAGAAAAUACACGACUACUAGCAGAAUUGACACCAAAAGUAACUCCACUCUCAAACUAAUUGACUGUGCUAUCAGAGAACAUUAACAAUCUUCCAAAUCAAGCAACUGCAGUUCGUUACAUUAAACCGGACUUCUUACCGUUCAAAACAGUUGAAGAGGUGGACGGGUACAACGAUUUUAGUGAAGAUGAACGUGCUAAAUUAAGACAUUAUCUGAGUGCCUUCUGCGGUGGCCAAGAUGUAACGGAAAAUGUCAAAUUUUUUUUGAAGAACAACUUAUUAUUCGAUGAUAAAUUACUGACCACAUAUAAUUUUGCACAGCCAUCACAGAAAAAAUCCAAUGUCUUCCUUGGCACGGCGAUUGAUCACGAUCUUUUUAGUGUAUUGCGUGUGAUGUUUCCCACAAUCCAAUCUAAAGAAUAUCACGAGUCUUCAAAAUCGGCAUUAAAAAAUGCAGAUAUGCGAGUAGCUAAGAAGCCCUUCGUCCAAAGAACAUCGCAAACUACUUAAGAAUUUGAAUAUCAAGAAGACGA